rnacentral:misc_RNA from 1 species
UUUCCGUAGGUGAACCUGCGGAAGGAUCAUUCAUAAUAAAGUGUUUUAUGGCACUUUUUAAAAAUCCAUAUCCACCUUGUGUGCAAUGUUAGAUCUCGUCAAUCUUGGCGAGAUUUUUAUACAUCAACUCAUUCUUUAGCUAAUUUGUCUGAAAAAAAUUAUGAAUACUUAAUUCAAAAUACAACUUUCAACAACGGAUCUCUUGGCUCUC